AGCCUUGCUGUAUUGUCUAGAUUGGAGUGCAAUGGCACGAUCUCUGCUCACUGCAACCUCCGCCUCCCAGGUUCAAGCAAUUCUCCUGCCUCAGCCUCCCAAGUAGCUGGGAUUACAGGCACUUGCCACCACAACCGGCCUUUUUUUUUGUAUUUUUAGUAGAGAUAGGGUUUUACCAUGUUGGCCAGGGUGGUCUCAAACUCCUGACCUCAGGUAAUCCACCCGCCUCGACUCCCAAAAUGCUGGGAUUACAGGCUUGAGCCACUGUGCUUGGCCUUGUGAUCUUUUAAAAAAUAUUUUUUUCUUUUUCUUUUUUUUUUUUGAGACGGAGUCUCGCUCUGUCGCCCAGGCUGGAGUGCAGCGGCCGGAUCUCAGCUCACUGCAAGCUCCGCCUCCCGGGUUCACGCCAUUCUCCGGCCUCAGCCUCCCGAGUAGCUGGGACUACAGGCGCCCGCCACCUCGCCCGGCUAGUUUUUUGUAUUUCUUAAUAGAGACGGGGUUUCACCCUGUUAGCCAGGAUGGUCUCGAUCUCCUGACCUCGUGAUCCGCCCGUCUCGGCCUCCCAAAGUGCUGGGAUUACAGGCUUGAGCCACCGCGCCCGGCAAAAAUAUUUUUUUCUUACUUUUGUUCCCAUUAUCUGAUGGAGGAAGAAAAUGAACUCAUCUAUCAACCGACUUACUGGGAGCCUGGUGCUCAUUUCCUAUUGGUUCCACAUUCACUCCUUAGUGCUCCUGCGCCACUCUGAAAUCCCUUCCUAGUUUUACCCAGCUGGAAACGCCACUACCUUAGCCACACUGAAGUUCCUCUACAUUCUUCAUUUCUGCACGUGCAGGAGGUGGAUCCCAGAUGCUGCUGCUGAGGAUGGGAAUCUCCAGAUUGGGAUGUCUGCAUGCCAGAGCUUGUGCAAGAUGAUCCACUAGGUUCCAAGAGAAAACAGCCAAAUGUCAGCCAGAAGAAAAAGGGCAAGGAAGAGAGCAGUUGGGAACUCUAUCUCCUGGAAAUUUGCAUCUUCACAGAAAGGCAGAGUGAGUUACCUAAGUUCAUCUGCUUUCAUUUAUCCAGAAGAACUGUGUCCACUAUGGUUCGCCUAUCUGUUGAAGAAACGAUUUCAUCUGGAAGUGGACUGGGGACUGGGAAGUGGACUGAGAACUGGGAAGAGAUGCUGACAUGCAUUUUAUUCCCAUUUUGUGGGGGUCCUAUAUACAGAACUGGUAGGUUGUGGUGCCGGCCAGAAGAUGUGUAUUCUAUUAAAAACCCCCUUACUGUCAUGUUACUUGAUCCUGAGCCUUCAAUACUGCUGUAUUUGACCCAGAACAAUUUCUGCUUUUCUAUCUCCCUGUGACACGUUAACCUACUUACACUCACCUGAGUGUUGAUUGCUGAUUUUUUUUUGACUCUUUGAAGCUCAUUUCCAUAAAGAAUGAGGUCUUUUUUUACUCUGCCCUUCUCUGGUUGAUGUCAAUGGUCUGACAUUUGGUGCCCUGAACUUCUAUUGCAUCCCUGAUGCUCUCCUGAAUUCUCCUUAUGCUACUUAUUAUGCCACAGGAUGGAUGGAAUAGAAGACAGCCAUUCUAAUAAAGUCAUUGUCAUCAUCAUCAUUGCUGCUUGUCCAUAUGCAGAGAUUCAUAGUUUCCAAUAUAUUUACCAUAUUCAUGGUCAUAUUUAUUUGUGAUCCAUAUUUUUUAUAGGUGAAGAAAGGUGGGUGUUCAGAGAGGUUAACUGCUUGAGGAUCCGUGGUGAUUGUGACAAGACUCAAAACUUUGGGUUUCUGAGUUCAGCUAGGGAUGAAGAAGAUGGAGAUGUAACAUGUAUUGCUAACCAUGGCAGAGAUUCCUGGUCCUGGAAUCAGUUUGGAUCUUGUUCUUUCCUUUGCGUAACUGUGACUUUAGGUGGGAGUCUUAAUAUAUAAUUUGGGGCCUUAUUUCUUUUAUCUGUAAGAUUAUCUUUAGUAUCUUCUUUUGUUCUAAGCUGAGAUUCUAAGACAUCUUUGUGAAUUAGAACAUAGGAUACUUUUCAUAUUUUAUAGAUGGACAAAAUGAGGGGCAGAGGGGU
rnacentral:lncRNA from 1 species